rnacentral:sRNA from 1 species
GCUGCAGGCAGUGCCGGGCCAGACAUGGCGGAAGAGGAGGUGGCCAAGUUGGAGAAGCACUUGAUGCUUCUGCGGCAGGAGUAUGUCAAGCUGCAGAAGAAGCUGGCGGAGACAGAGAAGCGCUGCGCUCUCUUGGCUGCGCAGGCAAACAAGGAGAGCAGCAGUGAGUCCUUCAUCAGCCGUCUGCUGGCCAUCGUGGCAGACCUCUACGAGCAGGAGCAGUACAGCGAUCUGAAGAUAAAGGUUGGGGACAGGCACAUCAGUGCUCACAAGUUUGUCCUGGCAGCCCGCAGUGACAGCUGGAGUCUGGCUAACUUGUCUUCCACUAAAGAGUUGGACCUGUCAGAUGCUAACCCUGAGGUGACGAUGACAAUGCUUCGCUGGAUCUAUACAGAUGAGCUGGAGUUCAGAGAGGAUGAUGUGUUCCUGACGGAACUGAUGAAACUAGCAAAUCGGUUUCAGCUGCAGCUCCUCAGGGAGAGGCAAGUCACAGCAGAUAUAUUCAAGCACCUCAGAUGGUGGCUGGGCUUUAAUUAUGCCGAGCUCUGGGAAACAGCUGCUUCUGCUAAUGUAAAUAACUUGGCAAGGUGUUCCUUUAAAGGCGAUGCUGGGGACAGAAUUUGUUACCUCCCUUGCUUUGUGUUAUCUUGUAGCUAAAUUUUGCUGAAGCUUUUGCUCUUCUCUUUUCUUUCACUGGUCUGUUACCUGAAAUUACAUAAUCGUAUAAACUGAAAAAUUAAAUGUGAAAUAAUAUAAUCCAAUGUCCAAACUUUCAGCUUUCCUUCCCUUUCUGUUUCCCUUGACAUUUUACUCUAUUUUCUGAUAUAUCAAGUUGAAUGAAAUCCUUAGUCAUAGUCUCUUUGUUGGAAACAAUGAGUGCCUAAAUGAAUAUGUGAAAAAAUUGUCCAAAUAAGUGUCAUAGCCAGUGUUCCAGAGAUCUCACUUCA